UCAUGCUAGAAAGAGCAUAUGGUGGAUGCCUUGGCACUAAGAGCCGAUGAAAGACGCGAUAAGCUGCGAAAAGCUUCGGGGAGGGGCAAAUACCCUUUGAUCCGGAGGUGUCUGAAUGGGGAAACCCGCAUGAGGAGCCCUCAUGCAUCCCUGCGCCAAUCCAUAACGCAGGGAGGGGAACCCGGCGAACUGAAACAUCUAAGUAGCCGGAGGAAGAGAAAACAACAAGUGAUUCCGUAAGUAGCGGCGAGCGAACACGGAGGAGCCCAAACCGGGGCGCGUGCGCCCCGGGGUUCGGACCGCGGAAGUGAUUCGGGAAGGCUAGCAGAACGGCUUUGGGAAAGCCGGCCAGAGAGGGUGAAAGCCCCGUAAGCGAAAGCCUGACAGACACGGCGGUAUCCAGAGUACCACGAGACACGAGAAACCUUGUGGGAAGAGGCGGGGACCACCCCGCAAGGCUAAAUACUCCUUAGUGACCGAUAGCGCAUAGUACUGUGAAGGAACGGUGAAAAGAACCCCGGGAGGGGAGUGAAAGAGAACCUGAAACCAUAUGUUUACAAGCUGUGGAAGGGCCUUACGUGCCCAACCGCGUACUUUUUGUAGAACGGUCCGGCGAGUUACGCCGGCUGGCAAGGUUAAGGGCUAAAGGCCCGGAGCCGAAGGGAAACCAAGUCUGAAUAGGGCGAAGGAGUCAGCCGGAGUAGACCCGAAACCGGGUGAUCUAUCCAUGUCCAGGUUGAAGUUGCCGUAAAAGGCAAUGGAGGACCGAACCCACAUCCGUUGAAAAGGGUGGGGAUGAGGUGUGGAUAGGGGAGAAAUUCCAAUCGAACCCGGAGAUAGCUGGUUCUCCUCGAAAUAGCUUUAGGGCUAGCCUCAUACGAGUCUUGCGGAGGUAGAGCACUGAAUUUCCUAGGGGGCGUCAAAGCUUACCGAAGAAUAUCAAACUCCGAAUGCCGCGUAGAUGAUGUAUGGGAGUCAGACUGCACGAGAUAAGUUGGGCAGUCGAAAGGGAAAGAGCCCAGACCUGCGGCUAAGGCCCCAAAAUGUGUGUUAAGUGGAAAAGGAUGUGGGAUUUCGAAGACAACUAGGAUGUUGGCUCAGAAGCAGCCAUGCAUUCAAAGAGUGCGUAAUAGCUCACUAGUCGAGAGGUCCCGCGCCGAAAAUGUCCGGGGCUGAAACACACUGCCGAAGCCCGGGGAUGUACCAAGUACAUCGGUAGAGGAGCAUUGGAUGCGGGAGGAAGCGGCACCGGAAGGAGCCGUGGACCGCAUCGAAGAGAGAAUGCCGGAAUGAGUAGCGAGAGGAAGGUGGGAAUCCUUCCGGCCGAAUAUCCAAGGUUUCCAGAGUAAAGCUGAUCUGCUCUGGGUAAGUCGGGGCCUAAGGCGAGGGCGGGAGCCGUAGCCGAUGGACAACAGGUUGAGAUUCCUGUACCGCGAUAUGACAGAACUGUGGGGACACGCGUGGAAAGCAUAAGCCGGGAAUGGAAAGACCGGCGCAAGCGGGGCAGGGGCUGCAUAGGCAAAUCCGUGCAGCGUAACCCGAAGCCGUGACGCGUACCGAACUGCAAGUAGGGAAGUAUGCGAGCCAUGCGUCAAGAAAAGCCGCUAUCGCUCAUAUCGCGCCCGUACCGCAAACCGACACAGGUAGAUGAGGAGAGAAUCCUAAGGCCGACGGGAGAAGCAUUGUCAAGGAACUCGGCAAAAUGACUCCGUAACUUCGGGAGAAGGAGUGCCAUAGAGAUAUGGCCGCAGAGAAUUGGCCCAAGCAACUGUUUAGCAAAAACACAGGUCUAUGCGAAGCCGCAAGGCGAGGUAUAUGGGCUGACGCCUGCCCGGUGCUGGAAGGUUAAGGGGAGAGGUUAGAGCGAUCGAAGCCUUGAACUUAAGCCCCAGUAAACGGCGGCCGUAACUAUAACGGUCCUAAGGUAGCGAAAUUCCUUGUCGGGUAAGUUCCGACCCGCACGAAAGGCGUAAUGAUUUGGGCACUGUCUCGACAAUGCACCCGGUGAAAUUGAAGUACCAGUGAAGAUGCUGGUUACCCGCGCCAGGACGGAA
rnacentral:rRNA from 1 species